rnacentral:rRNA from 1 species
GAUGAACGCUAGCGACAGGCUUAACACAUGCAAGUCGAGGGGCAGCACGGGAGUAGCAAUACAACUGGUGGCGACCGGCGCACGGGUGAGUAACGCGUAUGCAACCUACCUAUCAGAGGGGAAUAACCCGGCGAAAGUCGGACUAAUACCGCAUAAAACAGGGGCACCGCAUGGUGCUAUUUGUUAAAGAAAUUCGCUGAUAGAUGGGCAUGCGUUCCAUUAGGUAGUUGGUGAGGUAACGGCUCACCAAGCCGACGAUGGAUAGGGGAACUGGGAGGUUGGUCCUCCACACUGGUACAGAGACACGGACCAGACUGCUACUGGAGGCAGCAGUGAGGAAUAUUGGGCAAUGGGCGAGAGCCUGAACCAGCCAAGUCGCGGGAAGGAAGAAGGAUCUAUGGUUCGGAAACUUCUUUUGCAGGGGAAUAAAGUGCAGGACGUGUCCUGUUUUGUAUGUACCCUGAGAAUAAGGAUCGGCUAACUCCGUGCCAGCAGCCGCGGUAA